UACGUAGGGGGCUAGCGUUAUCCGGAAUUAUUGGGCGUAAAGCGCGUGUAGGCGGCUUUGCAAGUCGGGGUGUGAAAUCCCUCAGCUUAACUGAGGAAGUGCGCCCGAAACUGCUUAGCUUGAGUGCCGGAGAGGAUGGCGGAAUUCCCCAAGUAGAGGUGAAAUUCGUAGAUAUGGGGAGGAACACCGGUGGCGAAGGCGGCCAUCUGGACGGUAACUGACGCUGAGACGCGAAAAGCGUGGGUAGCAAACAGG
rnacentral:rRNA from 1 species